CAAGCAGAGUGUCAGAGUGUCAGCGUGGACGUGAGGAUGGGACACACUUUGUUUGCUGUGUUGGGGCUUUUCUUGCUGAAUAUUCUCCUCUACUGUGGACACGCUCAAGGUGUCCCUCGUCCUGUCCUCACAGUGUCUCCAUCAUGGCCGAGUCCUGGAGACUCAGUGACUCUGACCUGCAGUGUUGAACCUCCGUCUGCAGGAUGGAGGUUCUUCUGGUAUAAGGCUGUUCCCAAACGGUCAACCAUCUACUCUCCCUACUACAUCACAAAGCUUCUCGCUGGUAGCACCACUGGGACUGAACAGGGUUCCUACAUUCUUCAUGGACAGACAC